rnacentral:misc_RNA from 1 species
UAAUAAGUGUUUUAUGGCACUUUUUAAAUCCAUAUCCACCUUGUGUGCAAUGUCAGUCGAUCUUCUUCAUGGAGAUCGACCAAACAUCAACCUUUAUCUUUUAACUCUUGUCUGAAAAUAUUAUGAAUAAACAAUUCAAAAUA